UGGUCAUUUAGAGGAAGUAAAAGUCGUAACAAGGUUUCCGUAGGUGAACCUGCGGAAGGAUCAUUACCGAACUGUCGACACGAGUUGUUGCUGGUCCUCAAGUGUGGGGACAUGUGCACACUCUGUUUACAAAUCCACUCACACCUGUGCACCUUCAGUAGUUCUGUGGUGUGGAGGACACUGUCCUCCGGCCGUGGUCCUACAUCUUUACACACACACACGGUGAUAAAGUCUAAUGGGAUGUAUAUGGCGUUUAACGCAAUAUAAUACAACUUUCAGCAACGGAUCUCUUGGCUCUCGCAUCGAUGAAGAACGCAGCGAAAUGCGAUAAGUAAUGUGAAUUGCAGAAUUCAGUGAAUCAUCGAAUCUUUGAACGCACCUUGCGCCCUUUGGCUAUUCCGAAGGGCAUGCCUGUUUGAGUAUCAUGAACACCUCAACCCUCAUGGUUUACCAUGAUGGGCUUGGACUUUGGGGGUCUUGCUGGAUUGUAUUCAGCUCCCCUUAAAUGGAUCAGCUUGCCAGUGUCUGGUGGCAUCACAGGUGUGAUAAUUAUCUACGCUUGUGAUUUUACAUCGGGUAACCUUCACAGAUAUGAUGGGGGUUCACUGGGGCUCACAAAAGGUGCCUCUCUUCCAUGAGGAGGGAUGGCUCUUUGAACGUUUGAUCUCAAAUCAGGUAGGACUACCCCGCUGAACUUAAGCAUAUCAAUA
rnacentral:rRNA from 1 species